UGGUGGCUGUUGGACACACACUGUGCUGGUUCCUUGGUACUGUCCUUACACCUCUCAGCGGUUCACAUGCCAUCAGUUCACAACUGAACCAGGAAGAAUGGAGCAGGUUUUUAAGUAAUAAAUUCAAGGUUUACAACCUCGCAAGACUGACGGUUUUCCUAGGUCUUGGUUAAUGCCUUGUCCUUAUGGAAGGUGCUAGAAGACCUACAUUGCGUGGCCUGGAGGGGAGCACUAAUUCCUUGGCAGAUGUCUUAGGACAAUAAAGGACCGAUCUUGUCAUUAUGCACAGGCUGAGAGACGCAAUUAUGAAAAAGAUGGUAUAGCAGGGCAAAGCAUAAACUGUGCUGUCUUCCACAUUCAGAUCAUGUAAAAUGCCAUGGAAUGCCCAGGAAAUACAAGUUGAUGGUC